AAUGGGCAAGGGCCGGGCCGUCACCCCCCAAGUGGCGUGCCGUAUCUUGAUCCGGAUACGGUGGCAAGUGAGCGAGGAUCGGGUCGUCGCAUCCUUAGUGGCGCGCUACAUCGGCGCCCGGAUGUAGUGGAAAAUGAGCAAGGGUCUUCGCAUUUGACUCGACGAGUGCGAAGGGUAAGGAAGCUAGCCGAGCCUAGGAGGAUUCGCUUAGGUAGCUGGAACGUAGGGUCUCUGACAGGGAAGCUUCGGGAGCUAGUUGAUGCAGCAGUGAGGAGAGGUGUUGAUAUCCUUUGCGUCCAAGAAACCAAAGGGAGAGGACAGAAGGCGAAGGAGGUGGAGGAUACCGGCUUCAAGCUGUGGUACACGGGGACGGCUGCAAACAGAAAUGGCAUAGGCAUCUUGAUCAACAAGAGCCUCAAGUAUGGAGUGGUAGACGUCAGGAGACGUGGGGACCGGAUUAUCCUGGUCAAGCUGGUAGCUGAGGACUUGGUUCUCAAUGUUAUCAGCGCAUAUGCCCCGCAAGUAGGCCACAAUGAGAACACCAAGAGGGAGUUCUGGGAAGGCUUGGAAGACAUGGUUAGGAGUGUACCGAUUGGUGAGAAGCUCUUCAUAGGAGGAGACCUCAAUGGCCAUGUCGGUACAUCUAACACAGGUUUUGAAGGGGCGCAUGGGGGCUUUGGCUAUGGCAUCAGGAAUCAAGAA
rnacentral:rRNA from 1 species